CCUACGGGAGGCAGCAGUGGGGAAUAUUGCACAAUGGGCGGAAGCCUGAUGCAGCGACGCCGCGUGAGGGAUGAAGGCCUUCGGGUUGUAAACCUCUUUCAGCAGGGACGAAGCGUGAGUGACGGUACCUGCAGAAGAAGCACCGGCUAACUACGUGCCAGCAGCCGCGGUAAUACGUAGGGUGCGAGCGUUGUCCGGAAUUACUGGGCGUAAAGAGUUCGUAGGCGGUUUGUCGCGUCGUUUGUGAAGACCCGGGGCUCAACUUCGGGCUUGCAGGCGAUACGGGCAGACUUGGGUGUUUCAGGGGAGACUGGAAUUCCUGGUGUAGCGGUGAAAUGCGCAGAUAUCAGGAGGAACACCGGUGGCGAAGGCGGGUCUCUGGGAAACAACUGACGCUGAGGAACGAAAGCGUGGGUAGCAAACAGGAUUAGAUACCCUGGUAGUCCACGCCGUAAACGGUGGGCGCUAGGUGUGGGUUCCUUCCACGGGAUCUGUGCCGUAGCUACGCAUAGCGCCCGCGUGGGAGGUACGGCCGCGAGACGUAAACGUACGAAGAAGUAGACGGCGUGAGACGUUGCGAACGGACGACGACGAGGGAGGAGG
rnacentral:rRNA from 1 species